AGCCUCAAGCUCGGGUAGUACUCGGGUGGGUGACCACCGGGGAAGUCCGGGUGCUGUCUACUUU
rnacentral:rRNA from 1 species